GAUGAACGCUGGCGGCGUGCCUAAUACAUGCAAGUAGAACGCUGAAGGAGGAGCUUGCUCUUCUGGAUGAGUUGCGAACGGGUGAGUAACGCGUAGGUAACCUGCCUGGUAGCGGGGGAUAACUAUUGGAAACGAUAGCUAAUACCGCAUGACAACAGUUAUUGCAUGAUAACUGUUUAAAAGGGGCAACUGCUUCACUACCAGAUGGACCUGCGUUGUAUUAGCUAGUUGGUGAGGUAACGGCUCACCAAGGCGACGAUACAUAGCCGACCUGAGAGGGGGCAGGGCCACACGGGGUAUGAGACACGGCCCAGACUCCUCUGUGAGGCAGCAGUAGGGAAUCUUCGGCAAUGGAAGGAAGUCUGACAGAGCAACGCCGCGUGAGUGAAGAAUGUUUUCGGAUCGUAAAGCUCUGUUGUAAGCGAAGAACGAGUGUGAGAGGGGAAAGUUCACACUGUGACGGUAUCUUACCAGAAAGGGACGGCUAACUACGUG
rnacentral:rRNA from 1 species